rnacentral:misc_RNA from 1 species
AGCAAAGUCAACAGGGGGGGUCACAGGGCAAGAUCCUCGUCUAAUCCCAUGAUAAGAUACUAGUUCCUGAGACUUACUGUAGACUUUGCUAUAAAAAUUCAAUUUAUUAGCUUUCAAAUCCUCGAGUUCUUUAGGGAUGCCCAAAAAUCCCCCUCCACGGAAGGGUGACUGAGGUGCUUGAUUGCGGUAAGGAGAUAUGCCCCCUGAUCGCCUAAAAGGAGAUGUCCGACUUAUCAUUUGCCGGUCACUUGUAUAUGAGAACCGAUUGGAUCCACAACUUAGCUUGUUCUCAACACCUACAAGCUUAGGUGAUCGAAUUUCAUUGUCUAGAUUUUGUUUAUAAACAGCAUCCUUGGCAGG